rnacentral:tRNA from 1 species
GGGGGUAUAGCUCAGUGGUAGAGUACCUGCUUGGCAUGCUCGAGGCCUUGGGUUUAAUACCCAGCACCACAA